ensembl:lncRNA
AUGCCCCGCCAGCCCACCCUCCCACAAGCACCCCCUGUUGGGAUAUUGGCAAGUUGUCAUGACGACAGGGAUGUUCUGCUGAUGAAGUCUCGCUCAGCGCUGUCCAAUCAGAUCGUGGAGCUACAACCGCAGCGUGAACAGGGGAGGACGCACCUAUUCCAGUUGCACAAUGCUGAGAAAGGACAGGCGAAACCCAGGACCACCAACGGGAAAUUGGCAAUCCGAGGGACGCUGUCAAUGGGCCGCCAUGGUUCGACAAUACACAGACAGCGGGGGUCGUGGAUUCAGGGGCUGCCAGGAUACAAAGCGAUGCGUCGAUGGCCAGCCAUGGGAAAAAGCUGUCGGCAAGGUGGCUCAGCUGGCAGUGCCCAGGGCUCCCAUGGGGCAGAGAGUUGCCUGAAGUGGAGAGUUGAGGACGCUGAAGGAUGACGGGACAGCUGGAGAAGUGGAGGACUCUUCACUCUGAUCAGACACAAUGGACCAAGGUCAACAGUUAGAGACUCCUCUCUUUCCCCAUUUGUUCAAUCACCAAGCCCCCAUAGGACUCAUUGCAAGUUUUGUUUUGUAUGUUUGUUUUUUUAGUGUGUAUACUACUAAGUGCCACUUUUAAGCUCACUCCAACUGUUUAUGUUAUUUUGUGCAUUUACAUGUUUUACUUUCAUUGAUUCCACAGUACUCUUAUCCUCAUGCCAGUGGUUGCUAACAAACCUCAGGCCUGUCAGGCUUAGCGCAACAAGGAUUGUUGACAGAGAUUCUACUGCCACUCCCAGCUGUGUAGGAGGUCAACACUUCAACAUGUCGGCCCCUGCAAAUGAGGUUUUGAGGAUUGACAUGCAUUGAUGCCUGGAUGGAUGUGACUGGGUGGAUGCUGUGGAGUUUGUAGAGGGUGAGGGAGUGUGUUUAGAAGGAGAAGGAGAGAGUUGUGGUUUGGCCCAACGUGUUUCUGUUUCCGUAGCUGCUGUCACUCUUCACAUCAACCGACCAGAAGAAGCAUCGUUGCCAGUUGGCUGGCGAUCUGACGUUUUAUUUUUCUGUGUUCAAAUUAAAAUACUCACAAAAUACAUUGACAAGCUUUUCAGAAGAAUUAAGGAAGACUUCAUGCACACUACUUGAUAUCAGUAAUUACAAAUACACCACAGAUGCACGUAUAGGGCAAAUCAGUGAGCAGGAAAUAAUGAUCAUGCCUGUGAGGCUGCGUGGUUUCCAUCAAAGCCACUGUCCUCAUGGAGCGCACGUGUGUGUCAGGCAUCAUCUGCUGUGGAUUACUGUGGUCUGGGAAUGUCUGUGGUUUGAUCUGGCCCCCACCAUUUUGUCACCACAUGUCGCCCGUUAUACCCCUUUGAAUAUUGUUUGUGAUGUGUUCUGUAUGGUCUGCAUAACUCACCAUUUUAUGAAUUCACGUUUACUCUGAACCGUUUCUUUCGGCCUAGCUCUCUGCCCCUGAUGGAACCUCCAAUAUUUCAUGACCAAAACAUGUGACCUGCCACACUACAGGCUUGCAACAAUCAGAGAUCUGAAUCCACAUGAAGAUGAAAGAAUAAACCUGGUGAAGGCUGUGCUCAAUACCAGUGUCCUGAAAUGGUCUUCUAUUUUGGCUUUGAAGUAUCCAUUACUUACCAUGGGAAAACAGUGCAUUGAUGGUGAAGGUGCAAAACAGUGCAUGGCCUUUCCCCCCACUUCUUUCCCACCUCUUGUCUUUUAUUUCCUCAGUUAGUUUCUCUCUAACAGCCUCUAUCUACCCUUUCCCCCAUCCUCCCUCCCUCACCACCCCCUGACUCUACCCUUCCUUCCACCUCUCUCUAAGCUGGUUGGAGAAGCAUUCCUCAUUCCUUGAAUGCACACAGAAAUACUUGGUGCUCUGGCAUCAGCACUUCUUAAAAAGGGCUGCUGCCACCAAUGUUACAGCUGGAGCUUCAGCAACCCCCAACACACACACAGACACACACACAAACACACACCUAAAUCCUUUAGAGAGGAGACAUGAGGGUGGGAGGAAAAUCCGCUAAAUCAGCCAAACUCAGGAAUGUAUUUUCAUUAAAACAAGUUUGUUUGAAGGGAUUGAGAAGGUGGAGGAGAGAGCUGGAGUAUCAGAAGUGAUCAGACCCAAUGGCGCAGCGGCUGCACACUGCCAAGUAUUAGAGAAGCAGAGAAUAAGUAUACAUUACAUGUGGUGUAGACACAUACAAUUUGCAGGCAUGAGAAUUUAUUUAGCUGUAGGACUUUUA